UGUGCCAACCACACUGCUCCACGUGCGUCCCGGGUGUCAUCUGCAAGGCAGUGGGUCACGAUCCCCAGGACCCCCGUUACCACGAUGCUAGCAGAUGCCCACGGUGCGGAUCUGACUCUUCUCCGAGCUCCGAGGAGCCCCCGGGAGUACCUGAAAGGGGCGUGUGGCGGCUGCGGAAAAGUGGCCUGGAGUGGGCGGGACCGCGGCACCUGACUCAGCCCUUACAGGUCUCACUAACGGCGUUUCCUCGUCUAUAAAACGGGACUUAACUAAAACACCCCUCCUAAAAGACCAGUUGAGAGAUGACCUAAUCGUGUGCACUCCUUUUUGUGUGUGAGGGGGACCGGCUAGCCCUCUCGAUUCGCUUAGUAGCUGAUCCUCCUGCCCCCACCUCCCCUGUAUUGGGAUUACAGUGAGGAACACAGCCUGAUGUUAACAGUUUCCUAAAAGAGCACUGUCGUCGUCGUGUCCCCCCCCCCCCCGUUAAACACACCGCCUCAGGCACAGCGAGUGCUCUACCAAUGGAUCACAUGCACAGCCUUAACAUAUCGACUCUUUAGUCCAGUGCAUACAUGUUCAGUGAUUUCACACACACAAAGAACUGUAUUAGAUUUACAUAACUGCUCUGUGAAUGGAUGCUGCUACUAUUGUGGUUUUACUAGGGAACUGAAGACCGGCUUAAAACAUUUUUUAAAGA